GUCUUGUAUUACAUACUAGAUACCCGUAUGUAGAAAUGAAGUGUCGACAAUCGGCAAUGUUUAAAAAGGAAACGAAAAUGGAAAUUCUCUUUAACCAACAGGACUACUUUUAAAGAUACAGUAAUAUUUUGGAAAUCCCACAGGCAAAUGUCAGCUUAAAGAUCUACUGUCCAUUUUUAUUUGAUUCAAGUCCAGUCAAUUUAUUACUUAGUAAAGAUCCGUGUCCAGUCAAUGUGAUCCUUGUCCAGUCAAUGUGAUCCUUGUCCAGUCAAGUUACUAUUAUAGGUAAGUGAACAUUAUAUGUGAACUAUAUAGGAUCAUUUACUAUUGAAAUUUGUUUCCAAUGUAAAAUGUUCAAACUCUAUAAGGGGAGAUAAUCAACAUAUAGUUUUUACAUUCAAAAUACCAUAACACCAAUGUUUUUAUAGUAAACAAGACACAUGACAUCAUUACAGUGUUAUUUGCCUUCAAAAAUAGAUUGGUUGAACUUAAGCAUUGAACUUGUGCUAAAGAAAAAUAAAGUUAGAUAAAUGUCAAUGAGACAGCAACCCAACAAAGCAACAAUGGAGAUGUGUAAAGAUCAAGGUAUAGGAGAUGUGUAAAGGUCAAUAUAUAGGAGAUGUGUACAGGUCAAUCAGGUCAAUAUAUAGGACUAAGCAACAACAUUAAAUAUGGCAA